rnacentral:lncRNA from 1 species
GAGCAAUUUACUCUAUACAUUCCAGCAGUUUUUUUCGCAACAUGCAUAUACCUCAAUAAUCAUUGCUAUUUAUUUAUUUGUGUCUACUUACAGCCUGUAUAGCUUCGCAGUCCCAAGAAACAGCAACUCAGGAAACAGCUGAAGGUGAUUUCUGUUUAAACGCCUUUUGAGAAAACAAAAACAAAGCUUAUGUUACAUAGAAAAUACCCAACAAUGAGACUGUGAUUUGGUAGUGUCAUGCCUCAUCCUGUAUUUCAGAAAAGAAUGAAAUGACAUUCAGGAGAAUUCAAGCAUUGCAAAUCAAAAGUUGGUUACACCUUUUGUUACAUGACUCUUUACAGCAGUUUUCCAUUGUGCUUACUAAGAUGAUGAUUACUGGGGUCUAAACUUUAAACUGAAAUCCUGUGCAACAUCAGUCAACCAGAAUACACACAAUGAUAAAGGAUUUUUGUGAUUCAGUCUUAGGCGCCUAAGGUAGGUGACUUCAAUAUCCAGCAGAAAUACCACAGUGAAUGGUGUCUAAAAUAAUCCAUACACAGUCCCAAUUGGCCUAAAAGUUCAGCCAAGGAAUUGUGGGGAGAUGGAAAUUUCAACUUUCUUAGCUUUUCAUGUAGUUGGGAGGAAAAAAAAAAAGGUGUGAGAAAUUGUCAGCAUGAUUUGUCCCAUAGGCAAAAUCAGGAGAAUACCAACCCAGAGUUCAAACCUCAACCCACAGCUUCCAACCCUUAACUGAAUUUAAGGCUCAGCAUUAUAACUAACAGUUGUGUCAAAUCAGUUUAAGUAAUGUUUUAAAAUGUCUAAGUAAAUUGGAAUGUUUUAAAUGUUUUAGAAAAGAGUGUGAUUGCAACUCUAACUCAAUUUAAGCCCUGAUGCUUGGUAUGCACGUAUAGUUUCUGGAUAUAGUUCCAGAAAGUAAUGUCACACUGAGGAAACCAGAGGUAUUUCUUAAGUUUUAAAGAUAAAUAGUAAAAGGGACAGGAAAAGAGGGCAUAUCAAUCUUGACAUAUUGCAAGGGUCAUCGGGUAGAUGCAGAAUUAUACUUAUUUAGUCUCCAGAGGGCAGAAAUGGGCCCCUUGAUUGUAACUCCUAAGAAAUUUGAUAAUACAGAAGACCUUUCUAAGAAUUAGCUAUUAAGAAAUGGAAACUCUCAACUGCUU